rnacentral:rRNA from 1 species
AGGACGAACGCUGGCGGCGUGCCUAACACAUGCAAGUCGAACGAGGUUCAGCUGGUGGCAACACCAGUGAAGACCUAGUGGCGAACGGGUGCGGAACACGUGAGCAACCUGCCCCAAAGACUGGGAUAACAGCGGGAAACCGCUGCUAAUACCGGAUGUCCCCACGAGCUCGCAUGGGCUUGUGAGGAAAGGAUUCCGCUUUGGGAGGGGCUCGCGGCCUAUCAGCUUGUUGGUGAGGUAACGGCUCACCAAGGCUACGACGGGUAGCUGGUCUGAGAGGACGAUCAGCCACACUGGGACUGAGACACGGCCCAGACUCCUACGGGAGCAGC